rnacentral:rRNA from 1 species
UACGUAGGGGGCAAGCGUUAUCCGGAUUUACUGGGUGUAAAGGGAGCGUAGACGGCCAUAUAAGUCUGAAGUGAAAGCCCGGGGCUCAACCCCGGGACUGCUUUGGAAACUGUAUGGCUGGAGUGCAGGAGAGGUAAGUGGAAUUCCUAGUGUAGCGGUGAAAUGCGUAGAUAUUAGGAGGAACACCAGUGGCGAAGGCGGCUUACUGGACUGUAACUGACGUUGAGGCUCGAAAGCGUGGGGAGCAAAC